UAUUGAUCUAUUGAAAUUCUUGGUGAUAAUUUCUUUUUAACUCGUUAAUUGGUAGAUGUAUUAUGGGUGUGAACUUCCAAAAAUGU